rnacentral:lncRNA from 11 species
CCCAGGAGGGACUAUUUUCCAUAGUCGUCUUCAGUUCUGGCAAUGCUUCCGAGCUCAGCGCUUCUGGUGAACCUAACUAACAAAACACACAAUUGUGUUGGUUUGUUAUUUCAGGUUUUGAACACUGAUUUCAAUGGAAGUUCAUUGAUUUAAAUAUUGUGAAAGAAUGGUUGGGGACUGCAAAUUAGAUGGUGCUGUGGAAUUUAACAUAAUCCAGCCCAGGAAUGUGGGAUGGAAGGAACCAUGCUUUGGGUAGGUGUUCUGCAGAUAGCAGCCAUUUGAAACAAGAUAAUUUUAUUAAUUUUUUACCAAAAAAAUCUCCCUAGAUCCAGAGGUAGUAACAUUUUAAAUCCUGAAUGAUUUCAUUUUGACCACUUUUGAAUUGUGUACCAAAUCUAAAUGAAAUAGGAUUUAGAUUCUCAUACAUUUUAUUUUUUAAAAAUAAACAGAUUAAAC